ACGACCUCAAUAGACCACUCGAC
rnacentral:siRNA from 1 species